rnacentral:lncRNA from 1 species
ACAAAACACUCAAACACAACACAGUUCUCAGAAUUCUAUCUCACAUUUGCAAUACAUAAUCACCCCUGUCUUUCACUACUUUCUCUACUACUACUCUCUCUACUACUACCUUCUCUACUGCUGCUGAGCACUCUGCUCCCUUCUCUCCUACUGUCUGAGUAUUUCUAGAGUCCCUCUGAACUCCCAAGUACUUGUUGAAGUUCUAAGUUGCUCCUGUUAACUCUUUCUGGUUGUUUAUUUGCUGUUGUUUCUCUGUUGUACUAGAACUGAAGGCUGGUAUGUACUCCUGAGUUAAAUAACACUCUC